rnacentral:rRNA from 1 species
GAUGAACGCUGGCGGCGUGCCUAAUACAUGCAAGUCGAGCGAACAGACGAGGCGCUUGCUCCUCUGACGUUAGCGGCGGACGGGUGAGUAACACGUGGAUAACCUACCUAUAAGACUGGGAUAACUUCGGGAAACCGGAGCUAAUACCGGAUAAUAUAUUGAACCGCAUGGUUCAAUAGUGAAAGACGGUUUUGCUGUCCCUUAUAGAUGGAUCCGCGCCGCAUUAGCUAGUUGGUAAGGUAACGGCUUACCAAGGCAACGAUGCGUAGCCGACCUGAGAGGGUGAUCGGCCACACUGGAACUGAGACACGGUCCAGACUCCUACGGGAGGCAGCAGUAGGGAAUCUUCCGCAAUGGGCGAAAGCCUGACGGAGCAACGCCGCGUGAGUGAUGAAGGUCUUCGGAUCGUAAAACUCUGUUAUGAGGGAAGAACAAAUGUGUAAGUAACUAUGCACGUCUUGACGGUACCUAAUCAGAAAGCCACGGCUAACUACGUG